UACAGAGGUCGCAAGCGUUAAUCGGAUUUACUGGGCGUAAAGCGUGUGUAGGUGGUUGUACAAGUCGGUUGUGAAAUCCCCGGGCUCAACCUGGGAACUGCUUCCGAGACUGUGCGACUAGAGAUCGGUAGAGGGCGGUGGAAUUUCCGGUGUAGCGGUGAAAUGCGUAGAUAUCGGAAGGAACACCAAUGGCGAAGGCAGCCGCCUGGGCCUGAUCUGACACUGAGACACGAAAGCGUGGGGAUCAAACAGG
rnacentral:rRNA from 1 species